AAUGUGGAAAGCCGUGUCUCAGAGGCUAGGUCCCCAGGGAAAUUCUGAAAUGAGAACCAGGCCGACUGUGUGUUUAUCUGACUCUUCUUCAUUCUAACAGGACUUGGAAGAAAAAGGGCAGGAGGUACUCCACUGCACCAAGUUAGCCCAGCAUUUCCAGGGCUCUCAUGUGUGAAUGUAGGUGUAGUGCAUCAUUAUCCUGAGGACCUCACCAACUGGAAGUUACAGUUUUCACCAUCAGCUUACCUUAUCCCAUUUGGUCUGAUUCUUUUCCUCAAAGAGUGGAAACUUCUUUCUUUCAAGUUGCUUUUGUUG